UGAGAAGAUAGUGAAGAUUCAGUUGCAUCCAACGCAUCCAUGGCUUGUCACUGCUGAUGCCUCUGAUCGUGUGUCUGUUUGGAAUUGGGAACACCGCCAGGUAAUAUACGAGCUAAAAGCUGGUGGUGUUGAUGAGAGGCGGUUGGUUGGUGCUAAGUUGGAAAAACUUGCUGAGGGUGAAUCAGAUUCCAAAGGGAAACCCACAGAAGCCAUGAGGGGAGGCAGUGUUAAACAGGUUAAAUUUUAUGAUGAUGAUGUACGGUUUUGGCAACUUUGGCAUAACCGUUCGGCAGCUGCUGAAGCACCCUCUGCUGUAAAUAAUGUUGCUUCGACUUUUACUUCCCCUGCUCCACCAACUAAGGGAAGGCACUUUCUUGUUAUUUGUUGUGAAAACAAAGCCAUUUUUUUGGACCUGGUUACAAUGCGUGGCCGGGAUGUACUCAAGCAAGAGCUUGACAACAAGUCACUUUUAUGUAUGGAGUUUCUUUGUAAAUCUACUUCUGGGGAUGGUCCGUUGGUUGCUUUUGGUGGAUCAGAUGGUGUCAUUAGAGUUCUUUCAAUGAUUACAUGGAAGCUUGUGCGUAGAUAUACCGGAGGUCAUAAAGGAUCCAUUGCUUGUUUGAUGACUUUCAUGGCAGCAUCUGGUGAGGCACUUCUUGUCUCAGGUGGUAGUGAUGGUUUGCUUGUACUUUGGAGUGCUGACCAUGGUCAAGAUUCACGAGAACUUGUACCCAAGCUAAGCUUAAAGGCACAUGAUGGUGGGGUCGUGGCUGUUGAGCUUUCUCGAGUGAUAGGAGGUGCUCCACAACUUAUUACCAUUGGUGCAGAUAAGACAUUAGCUAUAUGGGACACAAUUUCUUUCAAG
rnacentral:misc_RNA from 1 species